rnacentral:rRNA from 1 species
AACACUUGGAAACGAGUGCUAAUACCUUAUACGCCCCAAGGGUAAAGAUUUAUCGCUGAAAGAUUGGCCCGCGCUAGAUUAGUUAGUUGGUGAGGUAACGGCUCACCAAGGCUACGAUCUAUAGCUGGUUUGAGAGGAUGAUCAGCCACACUGGGACUGAGACACGGCCCAGACUCCUACGGGAGGCAGCAGUGGGGAAUAUUGGACAAUGGGGGCAACCCUGAUCCAGCGAUGCCGCGUGAGUGAUGAAGGCCUUAGGGUUGUAAAACUCUUUCAGUAGGGAUGAUAAUGACAGUACCUACAGAAGAAGCUCCGGCUAACUCCGUGCCAGCAGCCGCGGUAAUACGGAGGGAGCUAGCGUUGUUCGGAAUUACUGGGCGUAAAGCGCGCGUAGGGGCUUUGCAAGUAGAGGGUGAAAUCCCGGGGCUCAACCCCGAACUGCCUUCUAAACUGCAGAGCUAGAAUCCUGGAGAGGUGAGUAGAAUUCCUAGUGUAGAGGUGAAAUUCGUAGAUAUUAGGAAGAAUACCAGUGGCGAAGGGGCUCACUGGACAGGUAUUGACGCUGAGGUGCGAAAGGUGGGGAGCGAACAGGAUUAGAUACCCUGGUAGUCCACGCCGUAAACGAUGGAUACUAGGUGUUGGGUAGCAUGCUAUUCAGUGCCGAAGCUAACGCGUUAAGUAUCCCGCCUGGGGAGUACGGUCGCAAGA